UUGAAGAAUUGGUACCACCAUCGAAGGUUCAUUCUUCCACUUCAACCGAUUUCGUUGAUGCCGAUUCGCCGAUUCUUCGUUCGUCAAAGUCUAUCCUCUGCUAUUUAGUUUGGAAGUGAUGUUGGUGAAGCCUUGGAACCACAACGAAAGCUUCAGUUUGGAGUGUUUGAAUGUGACAUGCUAAAGUGUGAGGGAGUUAUAGAAGAGUUUCUUUUAGAAGUAUAUUUUGGAAUGAAAGUGAGUUGGAGAUGAUUGGUCAAAGUUCAGAUUAUCAGAAAACUAUUUACCAAAAGUCUCAAAUGCAAAAGGACUUUUUGGCCAUCAGGCCUGUGAGUACUUUGCAUACUUAGCUUGUUUCUUCAAUGCAUAAGUUGUUUUGAUCAAUUUUAGUUUGAAUUAUUGUUUUGUUUUAUCAUAUAGUAUUAUAGUAAGUGAAGAUGAUGUUCGUUCCAUCUGUGUCAAGGCAUAAUAUUAUCCAUGUUUGCAUGUAGUUGUAGUUAUGCAGUUUGCUAGAGUAAUCUUAUAUUAAUUAUCGAUCUUGUGUUGGGUGGUUUUUUCUUCAAUACACUAUAUGUAGGCUAUUUUCUCUUUUCAUUCUUUAGCUUCGAAGAAAAAUGCAAUUUUGGGUUUCAUUGUUUUUCACUCUGUGAUCAAUUUUGAAGAACAAAGAUUGGCCUUUUAGAUUUCUUGUUUUUCUUCUAUUGACUAUUGUUGUUGAUUUUGAUUGUUGAUGAUCAUCAUGGAGAAUUAUUCAAGAAGUGGUGUUCAUGAUUUUACUAUGGCUUCAAGAAAAGCUGAAGAAACAAUGUGGUUAGUUGUAUCAGUUGAGGAUGCGUACAAUUUCAUGAUGAAUUGGCUUACAAAGGCUCCCACAGUUUAUGGGAUUUUUCAUAGCAAGAGAAAGCUAUGUUGGUAAGGGUAAGUGUUUAAUUUGAAUUCGGUUAGUAUGUUUUUUAGAAUUGUUUAUGCUCUGCGUAGUAUUUAAACUUCAGAUUGAAGGAGUACCGAUAUGUGUCGGCGAUACAACACCUACACCGUUAAUGGUUAUAUUGAAUCACUUUUAUUUUCUUUUAUAAUGCUUUGUUUUAUAUGCUAGCUUGUUUUAGGACAUUGAUGCAGAAGACUUUGGAUACUCUAGGAUAUAGAUUGAUGCAGGUAAUUUCGAUUUCUGCUUUCCCAUGGAUUGUUCUUCGAGUGUGCCUGUUUUCAGAUGUUAUUACUUGCUUGCUAUGUUCUAAGGAGCUGUAUGAUUUGCGAGACCGCUGGGCAACUUGUUUUCUUGACCUAUAUAAUCCUGAGGUAGAUUAUGAUGAUGCCGAUGAGAAAUAUUAGGAGCUAGCUAGCUAGGUUUGUGUGAAGUUACAAUGGAUUAGUAUUAAUUAUGAUGAUGUUUUGAU